AACGCGAAGAACCUUACCUGGGCUCGAAAUGUAGUGGACCGGAGUAGAAAUAUUCCUUCCCCGCAAGGGGCCGCUAUAUAGGUGCUGCAUGGCUGUCGUCAGCUCGUGUCGUGAGAUGUUGGGUUAAGUCCCGCAACGAGCGCAACCCUUAUCUCCAGUUGCCAUCAUUCAGUUGGGCACUCUGGCGAAACCGCCUCGGAUAACGGGGAGGAAGGUGGGGAUGACGUCAAGUCCUCAUGGCCUUUAUGUCCAGGGCUACACACGUGCUACAAUGGCCGGUACAAACCGUCGCAAACCCGCGAGGGGGAGCUAAUCGGAAAAAGCCGGCCUCAGUUCGGAUCGCAGUCUGCAACUCGACUGCGUGAAGCUGGAAUCGCUAGUAAUCGCGGAUCAGAACGCCGCGGUGAAUACGUUCCCGGGCCUUGUACACACCGCUAGUC
rnacentral:rRNA from 1 species